GAGCUGCCUGAUGCACAUCAAGGGGGACCUGCAAUCCUGGAGCAGGGCCGAUGGAUGGAGGCUUACUCCCAUGAGACAGCAUUUGCUGUGAGGUUGGAGGUCCAACCCCAUGAGACAGCAUUUGCUAGGAGGUUGGACUGUCAGACACUUCAAACUGUGUUUAGGACUGCAAUGAAAGGGAGAAGCAUAAAGUUUCCCACAGACCUACACUCCUCCCUAUAGGCUCCUGACAUGAAAGACCAAGUGGGUCAGAUGGAUGGUCAAUGCCGGGGUUGUGCUCAUUUUCAAGGAGGACAGCAGCUGCCUGCCAGACCUCACUGGCUUGCUUUUGCUCACCCCCACCACACCACAGGCUCCCAGCUACAGUACACCGGCUGCCUCGCAGCCUCAAGUCCAUUACUGUUAUCUACAGAGCACUUGGAAUCUGCAGGGCACAGUAGAAACCAGAUAAAGAACUGCCUGAGGCACCAGCGAAUCAGUCCUUCAAAGCCUGUUUGCCAAAUGCUCCCCCAAAACGUUGCACUUCGGUACACCUCUGUUUUCAGCAGAGCAGCUGCUCCAGGAUUAGUGUACUUUCAAGACUGUAGCCCACUAGAUCAGUUUAACUUACUUUGAAUUACAAUGAUGUGUUCACAUCAGUGGAAGUGGAAUGAUGUUCCCCAAUAACUAGUUAUUACAGCAUGAAACAGGUAAUCCUUCCAAGGCCUCUCAGGAAAGGAAGAGAAAACUCAUUCCGCCUGGAACUUCCAAAAGCAAGAACAAUUCAUCAGAGUGAAUUCAAACCUAAAUGCAAAGGGGAUGGCAGGGGUCACAUGUCUGCUAAUGGACUGAGACUCAGAAGGCUUAAUUUUAAAUUCCUGGCUCUGGCACAGAAAAGUCAUGCUAGCCUCUCAGGAAAUUCUUAUGCUCAUAGUAAUCCUUAUUCUUGUGCCGUUCACCAAAUAAAGCAGAGUAUUAAA